CUACGUGCCAGCAGCCGCGGUAAUACGUAUGUCGCAAGCGUUAUCCGGAAUUAUUGGGCAUAAAGGGCAUCUAGGCGGCCAAACAAGUCUGGGGUGAAAACUUGCGGCUCAACCACAAGCCUGCCCUGGAAACUGUUUGGCUAGAGUGCUGGAGAGGUGGACGGAACUGCACGAGUAGAGGUGAAAUUCGUAGAUAUGUGCAGGAAUGCCGAUGAUGAAGAUAGUUCACUGGACGGCAACUGACGCUGAAGUGCGAAAGCUAGGGGAGCGAACAGGAUUAGAUACCCUGGUAGUCCUAGCUGUAAACGAUGAUUACUGGGUGUGGGCAUGAAGAGUGUCUGUGCCGAAGCAAAUGCGAUAAGUAAUCCGCCUGGGGAGUACGGCCGCAAGGCUGAAACUCAAAGGAAUUGACGGGGACCCGCACAAGCGGUGGAGCAUGUGGUUUAAUUCGACGCAACGCGAGGAACCUUACCAGAUCUUGACAUCC
rnacentral:rRNA from 1 species